rnacentral:rRNA from 1 species
UAAACGGUGUCCGGUGUCGUCGUCUCGUACGCGCGCGCAUCGGUACCGGUCGGCGACGAAUUCUUCGGGCCUCUUUCCGACCCGUCUUGAAACACGGACCAAGGAGUCUAACAUGCGCGCGAGUCGCGGGGUGUCGAGCGUACCACGCGUACGCUCGUUACGUAACGAAACCCGUACAUAUCGAAGGCGUAAUGAAAGUAAAUGGGGAAGAUGGUGUUCCGAGUACACGUUCCGCGGUCAUCGGUACCGCGGCCGGACACCCGCAUUCCCGGGGCGUCUCAACGGCCCGUCGCGAAUGCGGACGGUCGUCUUUCGGGGCGGCCGUCGGUUUGCGACGAACCGAGGCGCACCUAUAGCGUGCACGUUGGUACCCGAAAGAUGGUGAACUAUGCCUGGCCAGGAUGAAGUCAGGGGAAACCCUGAUGGAGGUCCGCAGCGAUUAUGACGUGCAAAUCGAUCU